rnacentral:rRNA from 1 species
UACGGGGGGGGCAAGCGUUGUUCGGAAUUACUGGGCGUAAAGGGCUCGUAGGCGGCCAACUAAGUCAGACGUGAAAUCCCUCGGCUUAACCGGGGAACUGCGUCUGAUACUGGAUGGCUUGAGGUUGGGAGAGGGAUGCGGAAUUCCAGGUGUAGCGGUGAAAUGCGUAGAUAUCGGGAGGAACACCUGAGGCGAAGGCGGGUUACUGGGCUGAUACUGACGCUGAUGCGCGAAAGCCAGGGGAGCAAACGGG